ACAGCCGUGCCACCAAUACAUAGCCAACGUCACAUUGCAGUGCGUGUGUAUUGGUUUGUGCGGUUUGUAUGGUGACAAGCAAAGCUUUGGAUACACUUUACGUGUUCAUUAGCUGACGUUCAUUGUUGAUGAUACAUUCGUUUGCCGGCACAAUAUUGUUUUGAUGGACGCAACGCAACGAUGUGGCUGAAAUUUGUUGAUUUUUAUUUUUUUCCACGGCAAACAAAUUAGAACAGUUUAAUGACACUUUUUUUUCUGUUCGUUUUGGUCUUUUAUUUUAAAACGUCACCACCAAUCGGAAUGCAUAUUUUCGGUUGCGAUUUUUGUCUAUUUUCCAGCCAUAUGGUUCAUAUGCUGCUGUAUUGCAUUACGAUUUUGCCGCAAUCCCACAUUUGCAUGAUUAUUUGCCGGAACGAAAGAAAGAUGGUUUGCGACACUGCGUCGUAUUGACAAUGAUGUGAUAUUCACAGUGUGUGCCACAUAUAUAUAUAUAUAUAUAUCGAUGACGGUUCGCACAAACGUUUUACAUGUCGAAAUUUCCACUCACAAGGGAUUGGGGCAUGUUCCGAAUUUAAUGGCAUUUCACAAGUCUUUAUCCAGAUCGAAUUUCGUUGGUUUUCCAAAAAAAAAGAGAAUUCGUUUCUGAUAAUUUACACCGUACAAAUCCAUAAUUCCACAAUCUGAAACCACAUCAUCGCUAAAUUUAGUAAACAAUCUUCUUUUUUUCUUCGGCAUUCUGUUUCACCUUUGCCAACGCGAACAGUAGCGCAAUGUGCAACGUUCAUGGACAUGAUGAGAAAUGUGGACUUUCGUCGUGUCACCUUAAACUGUAGCUCAAGAUAAAAACCAGCAAAUACAACGUGUUGCAAUUAAUUACAGUUUAUUGAGAAAAUAUUUUAAAAAAAAAUGUUUCAUUUGGAUCAAUCAAAUUUGAAUUACAUUUGAUGGUAGCAAAAUUUCUUUUACCGUUUCAUUAUACAUUGAUGAAAUGCCAUUUAUGUUUUAUUUUUUGUUUAUAUGUCCGAUAUGUUUCAUAUGGGAAAAAAACCAAAUACUUGAUAAAUGGUUUUUUUUACUAUUUGGGCCGAGUUGUUUAACUACUGUUACGAUUUUGGUGUUUCCCCUUUUAUUUUUCAUUCAAUUUUUGAUUAGACCGCUUCAGAUAUCGGAUAAGCGAUAAUUACGCGUCGCUUAUCAUCAUUCAUGAUGAUGUGUCUCGCCCUUUUCACUUGCAUUUUUCAUAUCUAUAUCUAUGGUCGACUUAAAAGAAAUUGAUGGCAAUUGUGGCAAUGGCAUUAAUCAUUCUUCCUCCUUUUUCUCCAUUUCCUAAUAAAUAUUCUAUUCAAGUAUCAAACAAGAAACACUGAGAACAACUAUUAUCGUCUAAUUGUAGUAAACAAAAUGAAAAUUACGAUGAUUAUUCUUAGAAUGACAUUACUAAUGAGUUAUUGCAAAAAUGACAUUUCCUUUUUUUUUCGUUUAAAUUUUAUUCUAUUUUAUAAUUUGACUUCUGCUCAGCAAAUUGAAACAUGUAAAAUUCGUUUUGUUUUUGUUAUUAUGCGUAGAGAACGAAUAUGUAUAUUGAAUAGAUGAUUCAUGUAUGCAUUUUUAUACUUUAUCCAAACGAAUAAAAAAAAAUCAUUCUAAUUCUCAAAUUAAGAAUUGAUGGAUUUGGUUAUGUUUAUGCAAUGGAUUUCUUUUUGAAACUUUGUUUUUUUUGUCAUUUUUUUUCUUCGUUUAUCAAAAAACAUACAAAAGGCCAUUAAAUAUCACAUAAUUUAGUUUUACAUUUUUUUUUCUUCAUCUUUGUCUCAGCAUGAAAUGAAUUUCGAACUGAAUUCGCAGGCGUGAUAUUUUAUCGUUAUAAAUUUUUCUGUUCUUUCUUCUGAAUUAAAUGUAGACUAGAGUUACAUUUCGAAAAAAAAAUCAAUCAAUCAUUGUCUAAAUAACUAAAUUCGAACAAGAAAAAACAAUGGCAUUUGAAUAGGAAAAGCAAAAUAUUUGGUUUAUGUUCCUCUUUGGAUAAUAGCAAAUCGAGAAUAAAAAUAAAAUGAAGAAAUUCAUUCUCUCGUUUAAAUGGCUAAACAAUGCUCUAGCAUUACUAUUCAUCAAAAUCUAAAUAUAAUUUGUUUUUAAUAAUUGCAUCAUUGAUUGAUUGAUAUAUAUAUAUAUAUAUGUAUAAAAAAAUUCAUCUAAACCUGUCUCGUUAACGGCUUUUGUGUGUUCCAUUGAACUAGGGUUUUUGUUUUUCUUUUAAAAAAUAAAAUGAAGAAAAAGAAAAAAAAAACCAAAAAUAAA